AACUAACGCUGGCGGCGUGCCUAAUACAUGCAAGUCGAGCGCGAAAGUCCUUCGGGAUGAGUAAAGUGGCGCACGGGUGAGUAACACGUGAGUAAUCUACCCUAAGAUGGGGAAUAACUCCUCGAAAGAGGAGCUAAUACCGCGUAAGACUACGGUCACUACGGUGACAGAAGUAAAAGAUGACCUCUAUUUAUAAGUUAUCGUCAUAGGAUGAGCUUGCGCAUUAUUAGCUAGUUGGUGGGGUAAUGGCCUACCAAGGCUACGAUAAUUAGCUGGUCUGAGAGGAUGAUCAGCCACACUGGAACUGAGAUACGGUCCAGACUCCUACGGGAGGCAGCAGUAGGGAAUAUUGCUCAAUGGGGGAAACCCUGAAGCAGCAACGCCGCGUGAGUAAUGAAGGCUUUCGGGUUGUAAAGCUCUGUUGUACGGGGAAAAUGUUCCUAUGGCUAAUAUCCAUGGGAAGUGAUUGUACCGUAUAAGAAAGGACCGGCUAACUUCGUGCCAGCAGCCGCCGUAA
rnacentral:rRNA from 1 species